AUAUACUCGGUUACAGUGGGAAACCCCUGUAUCUAUAACGACCGUAGGUGAACCUGCGGAAGGAUCAUGUAAAGAAUGAAGCCUGGGAAACCGGUCCUUCUUUCAACCCUGGAUUAUCUGAAUCUUGGUGCUUUGGUGGAGCCGCGCAAGCACCAGCUGUCAUGCUGGAUCGUGCCCGCCACAGGACCACAACUCUGUAUUAAAUGUCGUCUGAGGUACUGCAUAUAAUAGUUAAAACUUUCAACAACGGACCUCUUGGUUCUGGCAUCGAUGAACAACGCAACCGAAAUGCGAUAAGUAAUCUACGACGAUUGCAGUAAUUCAGAGAAUCAACGAAUCCGUGAUACGAAAUCAUUCGCUGUCCACUCGGGGUAAUUCCCGGAGGGACCAUUGUCACCGUUCCAAUCGUCAUAAGAGAUCCAAAUCACGCACUUCGUAGGGUGGACUUGGAACCCGGCCAGGAAAACCGGUCCCUCUCUUAAAAAAUAGGUGGCCGGUGGCUCUUAAAGCUUCUACCCCGUACUAAUUUUUCUUCGCUACAGAGUCUUGAUUGGACUUUGCCAACAACCCCAAUUAUUUUAAGGUUGACCUCCGAACAAGAGGGAAACCCGCCCAAAUUAACCAUAUCAUAAACGGGGGGGAAAAAA
rnacentral:rRNA from 1 species